UACUAGAGUAGCACUCGCAUAUCAAUAAGCGGAGGAAAAGAAACUAACAAGGAUUCCCCUAGUAACGGCGAGUGAAGCGGGAAGAGCUCAAAUUUGAAAUCUUAAAGGGUUUCCCUUUACGAAUUGUAGUUUAAAGAAGUGUUUUCUGUUGAGGUUUUGGUAAAAGUUCUUUGGAAUAGGACAUCAUAGAGGGUGAGAAUCCCGUAUUUGACCUUUACUUUCAACUUUGUGAUACACUUUCAAAGAGUCGGAUUGUUUGGGAAUGCAGUCCAAAAUGGGUGGUAAAUUUCAUCUAAAGCUAAAUAUUGGCGAGAGACCGAUAGCGAACAAGUACCGUGAGGGAAAGAUGAAAAGAACUUUGAAAAGAGAGUUAAACAGUACGUGAAAUUGUCAAAAGGGAAGCGUUUGACACCAGUGUUGUUUUUCUGAAAAUCAAUUAAAGAACUGUUUAUGCUAAGUUGUUUAGACUUUAUCAGCUAUCUGCUUAGUUUUGAGCUUUUCUUUAACUGCACUUUUCAGUUAACAAGUCAACAUCAAUUUCUUUUGCUGUAAAAAAGCUUGAGGAAGGUGGCUUGAGAUUCGUCUUAAGUGUUUAUAGCCUCUUGCCUAUGCAGUCGGAGAGAUUGAGGUCUGCAGCGUAGAUCCUUCGGGGCUAAAUGCAUUUGUGCUAAGUUAUAGCAUUUUAUAGACAACUUGUUGACUAUGAUUUGUCUUGUAGCUUACUCGCUUAUGUUAUUUUACCUACGCUUAGGAUGUUGAACUCUAUCACACACAG
rnacentral:rRNA from 1 species